UACGUAGGGGGCUAGCGUUGUUCGGAAUCACUGGGCGUAAAGCGCGCGUAGGCGGACACUUAAGUCAGGGGUGAAAUCCCGAGGCUCAACCUCGGAACUGCCUUUGAUACUGCGUGUCUGGAGUCCGGAAGAGGUUGGUGGAAUUCCGAGUGUAGAGGUGAAAUUCGUAGAUAUUCGGAGGAACACCAGAGGCGAAGGCGGCCAACUGGUCCGGCACUGACGCUGAGGCGCGAAAGCGUGGGGAGCAAACAGG
rnacentral:rRNA from 1 species